UACGUAGGUGGCGAGCGUUGUCCGGAUUUACUGGGCGUAAAGAGCGCGCAGGCGGUCGUACAAGUCGCGUGUGAAAGCCCCUGGCUCAACUGGGGAGGGUCACGCGAUACUGUUCGACUUGAAGGCAGGAGAGGGAAGUGGAAUUCCCGGUGUAGUGGUGAAAUGCGUAGAUAUCGGGAGGAACACCAGUGGCGAAGGCGACUUCCUGGCCUGUUCUUGACGCUGAGGCGCGAAAGCUAGG
rnacentral:rRNA from 1 species